UGUAGCUCAGUGGUAGAGCACUUGCCUGGCAUGUAUUUGGCACUGGAUUCAAUUCCCAGCA
rnacentral:tRNA from 1 species